AUGCUAACAAGCAGAGUAAAAAACACAAUGAUUUACAGUAGAUUCGAUUAGAUUUUGUAAGUUACCGCAUAUAAAACAUUAUAUAAUACAGUACGUGGACAGAAGGUGUCUUCAGAGGAGUUGUACAGACGCUGCCAGGGACAAUGAGGAAGUAGUUGUCUAAUGUCCGUGGUGUCUUUAAACGCCACACGACUGCUUCCGUAUUUCUCAGGAAAAAGAAUGUUUUAUUCCGCAAUUCGGUCCAACAAUAUCAGCAAGGCCAUCAAGACUAUGGAGGUUAUAAACCGGGAUCAUCGCAACCAAUUAUGUUUACAGUAAAAUAUAUAUACAUAAAUAUCAAUAAUAACAAGGCGCCCGUACGAACCUCCAGCAGCUCCUGCCCGUGUGGAGCCGGCUCUAAGCGGCUUAGGCGACUCCCCCCUCCCCGCCCCUAAUGGUCCGGUCCUGGCCGGUCCGCCGCCGGUCAGGGGUGGCCGUGGUCUCAGCCUGAUAGAUGUUCCUCGGCGUGGUGGUCUUAUCUUGGUGGUCCAGCAAUGGAGGAAGGUGGAAGAGACGCCAAAAGCCCGCCACACAGCAGCAGCAGCUUGGCUAAUCUUAGGGAGUGUGGCGCAAUGACAAGACACAGUACAAACACACACACACACACACACACACACAAGAUAGGGACCGUCUUACAAGUGCAAAACGCAGAUAGCAUUCAACAGUCUAAAACCCCCCACUAACUCCAGAGUUCAACAUACUAGCAAAUGUUUAUUGUGUUUAAAAAAAACAAUACAGUUAUACAGUGCUUCAAUUAAGGCGGCUCAAUGUAACAUAACACAGGGAAACAUGUUGUGGUGCCAGACCUGAUCAGAAUAUGACUUUUUUCUUGCAGCUCGAGAUUAUGACAUAAUGCACGUAUUAAUACAUUAUAUUUUCUUCCAAGACCAUUAGCAGUCUUCAACAAUCAUAAAUACAUUCAACAUGUAGUUUUCUUCUAUCUAAAAGGCAAUUGCAAUGAUUUGUGGACAUCCACAUAUGGAUUAGCAUACCAGUCACAUCAUUCUGCACCAGUUAAAACUGAUGAUAUUUAGAAUCAGCCACCAAUAUUUACCCUCAAAAAAUCGUCUUCUAAUAUCCUAAGCACCAAAUUCUAUGUUCCCCAGUAUUAUUUACAACAAACAGUCAUAGGAAAUCAUAUUGGGCACUUCAUUAGGUCGCAUCAUCGCAAAUCGCAUCAUUUGGCCAUUUGAGUCGAUUGUUCUGUUUUUAAAAAAUAUUGGUUUUGAAUUGUAUUGAAUUGAAUCAUCCAUCAGAAAGAGAUUUAGUCACGCUGGCAUUUGGACUCUAGUCCUGAGCGAGGCAAGUGUGCACACUGACCACACCAGUGCACCGAAACACUCGAUAUGAUGAUCUGGCAAAAUACCCACCAUAGAAAGUUUUGGAUGCAUGGCUCGGCAUCACUUUACGCCAUCAAAUCAAGGCAUGACGUUAUUGCAUGCUAGUUUGCUUAACAGAGCAUUACUUGAUCCGCUGACAAAAAUACAAAUAUGUGAACGCAAAACAGACCUCACUAAAGUGAACAAGUAUCUUUCUAAAAAUGUUGGUCCAGACCAGACUAACUGACUAAGGAUGAACACACUUUAAAGACCUAUACACAAUAGUGCAAGUUGGAUGUGUGCUAAUGAGAUUGUAUAACACCACACAUUAGACACUGGUGGUGGCAGUAAGGCAUUCACUCCGCCUUCAUCAGCUCCCUGACAUCGGAGGGCAGCGUUUCGAACAGCGCAUCCUCCACAAUGAGGCCGCUGCGCUUCAAAGUACGACAGAAGCCCAGCUCUGCAGGCAGAACCUCAAAGUGGUUCCCUUUGAGCUCCAAGUGCGUGAGCUGAACGAGGCGACAGAAAAGUACUGCAGACUCUGAAGGACUCCGAUUUCUGGAGGGAUGAACCUGAUGUCGUUGUGGCACAGAUCCAGGUAGCGGAGUUUGUUACACAAGAACAAAUGUGAGGGUAGAAUCUCAAUCUUGUUGUGGCUGAAGUAGAGGCGCUCAAGACUCCCUAGCUUCUUGAUGUGCUCAGGGAUGUACAUCACGCCGUUGUACCAAAGCUUAAGGCAGGUGAGUUUGCGGAGAUGCUGAAAACUGAUGAUCUCCUCGAUGGAACGGAGGUUGUUCUCCUUGAGGUCAAGCUCCUGCAGGGUGGUCAGGCUAAAGAUGGCAUGAGGAAUACGCUCCAAGUCACAGCGCACCAUCUCCAGCUCGGUCAGGUUGUUCAUCUUCUUCAGGUUGUUGAGCAUCACCAGUUUGGUGCCAUCAUUAUGUAGAUACAGCCUCUGUAGAUGGCUGGAGACGUCCACAAUGGACUGGGGUAUCUUGGUCAAGUUGCUCUUUAGCGAGAGCGUCUUCAGGCACUUCAUCUCCCGCAGUGACUCCAGAACAAUAUUCUUGGAGGCGUCAGGGCAGAGUGAUCCUGUGAGAUAGAGCUCUUCUAAGUUCCUCAGACCAUACAGCCAGCUUGGGAACUCUCUGCUGUCAUCAAACUUGAUCCGAAGUACUUUGAGGUUCUCUUUGAGGAAGGAGGUCGCUGUGGUGUGCAGCUUGAUGGAGCACUGGUAGAGAGACAGUUCCUGGAGGUCUGCCAACUGGGAGACAGAGGCAGGGAUGGUCACGUUGUUGAUGAUCUCCAGUUUAAGCGACUGAAGCUCCGUCAGCUCAAAGACGGUGUCGGGCAGCCCGGGCAGCAUGAAGAGCUGCAGCUCAAGUCGGUUGUUGCCGUUGAUUUGCAGUCUCUGACGAAGUUUGUCGGCUGUCCACUCAUGGUUCAGAUUGAGUUGCUUCAGCUUGUUCUCGCUGACCUCAGAGAGGAACACAGCAAAUCUUUUCGAGUACAAGGGGUCGUACUGGUCGAUCAUGUGCAGCAUGAAAGCAAAGUCGUUUUUAACAUCCGGGAUGUCGUUGAUGCCCGUUUCCUGGCGGACAUACUCAAAGGAGUAUUCCUUGAGGGAGCGGUAAAACAGCCAGUAGGAGGUGUACAGACUGGUUAAUCCAUAGACGGCUACCAAGCACAGGUAGCAGUAGGAGAGCUUGGAGAAGAGGUGAGCCAUGGUGUGAUUGCACUCAAAGUCUUUGUAGCCGGUCAUGUCCUGUAUCUCCACCUCACAGGGAACUCUGUUCCUCACUUUGUUGACCAGGGAGCUGUUGUAUGCGAUGAUCAGAAGGAACUUAAAGACCUUGAAGACCGUUUGGCGAACAUACAUUAUGUAGAGGAUGUCUCCUUCUUCUACAUGCAAGCGGAACUUCUUGACUUUCUCAAAAAGAGCUUUGGCUUGUUCGCCCUCUUUUUUAUCAAGAGCGCUCGCUGAGGGUUUGUCCACGACUAUCUUCUCCGGGAUGGACCUGAGCGACUGUGUUUUCUCCAAACAGACAUCUCCGGGGGAUGCGACCAUGUUGGACCGGGCAGUCCCGCUCUUUUUAUGGUCCUUUUCUUCUGGGUUUUCUCCAGAAACCUCGGACAAAGCCCGGGUGGUCCAGGGAGAGUCAAAGCACUUGCCAAGCAUAGAGAUAAAGUGCUCUAUUUUGGAGCUGGAACCCGGGAAUUUGAACCAGAAGUUGCUGCACACCAUGAAAAUCAGCGUGUGUAUCAGAACCAAAUAAGGAAAGUACUUGGCGUACCAAUGCAGGGCCUUCUCAUAACACAUCUGGUUGAUGAAACUGUACUGCUGGAGGUCCAGAUCAGUCUUCCGGCCAGUCAUCUCUCUUGGCACGGCCGACAUGUUGUAAUGCAUGUGUAACGGCGUCACCUCCACUUCAGUGGUGUUCUCCUGAGAUGUUCUGUGUGGGAGGCAGAUGAUCUUGUCUUGCAUUACCUACCGCACAAAGUGAAAACAAGGAGGAUUAGCCGUGUUGUUUAUGCAGUUUUAUCGCAUGAAACAUCUGCUUUAACAUUUGACAGAGCAGCCAGCCAGCCAAGCACUAGUAGAUCUUCAAAUUGUAGCCCCGAGUAGCAGUAGAUAGUUUAGUCCUGUUUAUACUUCAAUUACAAUAACCUGUUUCUUUUGGUAUUUAUUGAAUUAAGCCUGAUUAAAUAUUCCUACGGUUGUACAAUUUGGAAUUUGACCAAAAGUAUGGAGUUAAGCAAGAAUAUUAGCUUUUUAUUAUUAAAAAAAACACCUCUCUGUAGGUUGAUUUAUCAUUAAUUUGAUGUUUUACCGUGUCAACUGUGUGUGAAAAUGUGUUAACUGCAUUUUACAAGUGAAACGUGGCUAAA